AGCAGUAGACAACCCCUUACUCUCUACGUGGGGCCAUGUGAAACAGUGGAAUCAACAAGCACAAAAACGUGAAACCGUGGCAUUUCAGAGCCUGCGAGAAGCACACUUGGGUCCAGCACUUGAGAAAAGUAAAAAGCUCAGGAAUCUGCCCUGUUAACAGCCCCGGGAGGUGAAGCCCAGUGCUCAGAUGCAGAGAUGCACAGAGAACAUUCUGAGGAGAAAUCAAUGGCUCACAUGGCAAGCCUCAAGAGCACUGCUUCUGGAGCUAGAAGCCAGGGUUCAAAUCCCAAUCUUACACCAGAAAGAAUGGUGCUGGGGCAGAAAACACCAGAAGUGGACAUAGGAAGAAAGAGAGAAACUCGGGAGCCUGAGGUGCUCUGGUACAGGGAUCAAUGACCUGGCUUAGCCCAGCACCAUCUGGAAGGACCAGUGCAUU